GACAGAGGGUGCAAACGUUGUUCGGAAUUACUGGGCGUAAAGCGCGUGUAGGCUGCUCUGUAGGUCGGAUGUGAAAGCCCUGGGCUCAACCUAGGAAGUGCAUUCGAAACCACAAAGCUUGAGUCCUGGAGAGGAAGGCGGAAUUCUCGGUGUAGAGGUGAAAUUCGUAGAUAUCGAGAGGAACACCGGUGGCGAAGGCGGCCUUCUGGACAGUGACUGACGCUGAGACGCGAAAGCGUGGGGAGCAAACAGG
rnacentral:rRNA from 1 species